UGGUUAAAAAGCUCGUAGUUGGAUCUCGGCGGUCUGAGGGCGGUUCGCUUGAUUGAGUGCUACUGCUCUAUAGGCCGUGGUUUUGCCAGAGGUCUCGGGGUGCUCUUAACCGAGUGUCCUGCGAUGCUGGCAGGUUUACUUUGAAAAAAUUAGAGUGCUCAAAGCAGGCUUUUACGCCUGAAUAUUCGUGCAUGGAAUAAUAGAAUAGGAAGUCGUUUCUAUUUUGUUGGUUUUCGGAAAUCGACUUAAUGAUUAAUAGGGACAGUCGGGGGCAUUUGUAUUCAAACGACAGAGGUGAAAUUCUUGGACCGUUUGAAGACAAACUACUGCGAAAGCAUUUGCCAAGAAUGUUUUCAUUAAUCAAGAACGAAAGUUAGAGGUUCGAAGGCGAUUAGAUACCGCCCUAGUUCUAACCAUAAACGAUGCCAGCUAGCGAUCUGCCGACGUUUUCUUUGUAGACUCGGCAGGAAGCUUCCGGGAAACCAAAGCAUUUGGGUUCCAGGGGAAGUAUGGUUGCAAAGCUGAAGCUUAAAGGAAUUGACGGAAGGGCGCCACCAGGAGUGGAGCCUGUGGCUUAAUUUGACUCAACACGGGAAAUCUCACAGGCCCGGACACUGGAAGGAUUGACAGAUUGAUAGCU
rnacentral:rRNA from 1 species